rnacentral:rRNA from 1 species
UACGGAGGGUGCGAGCGUUGUCCGGAUUUAUUGGGUUUAAAGGGUGCGUAGGCGGCUUUUUAAGUCUGGGGUGAAAGCCCGCUGCUCAACAGCGGAACUGCCCUGGAUACUGGAGAGCUUGAGUACAGACGAGGUUGGCGGAAUGGACUGAGUAGCGGUGAAAUGCAUAGAUACAGUCCAGAACCCCGAUUGCGAAGGCAGCUGACUAGGCUGUUACUGACGCUGAGGCACGACAGCGUGGGGAGCGAACAGG